rnacentral:rRNA from 1 species
AAUCAACGCUGGCGGCGUGCCUAACACAUGCAAGUCGAACGAGAAAGGGACUUCGGUCCCUGAGUACAGUGGCGCACGGGUGAGUAACACGUGACUUAUCUACCCUCGAGUGGGGAAUAACUUCGGGAAACCGAGGCUAAUACCGCAUAAUACCCACGGGUCAAAGGAGCAAUUCGCUUGAGGAGGAGGUCGCGGCCGAUUAGUUAGUUGGCGGGGUAAUGGCCCCACCAAGGCGACGAUCAGUAGCCGACCUGAGAGGGUGAUCGGCCACAUUGGGACUGAGACACGGCCCAAACUCCUACGGGAGGCAGCAGUGGGGAAUAUUGGACAAUGGGCGCAAGCCUGAUCCAGCAAUGCCGCGUGGGUGAAGAAGGUCUUCGGAUUGUAAAGCCCUUUUGGCGGGGACGAUGAUGACGGUACCCGCAGAAUAAGCUCCGGCUAACUUCGUG